rnacentral:ncRNA from 1 species
GGGAAUGAGCAUAUUAUUUGUUUGCAAAAAAGAGGGAUGAAAUGGUGAUUUGGUGACCCAAUGGAUGGACUAUAGCAUAGAAUUCAAAGUUAUCACCAGACCUGCUUUCUUAUAAUUCAUGAUAGCUAAGAUCCAAACUGGGAUUAGAUACCCCACUAUGCUUAGCCCUAAACAUAAACAUUCAACAAACAAGAAUGUUCGCCAGAGUACUACUAGCAAUGGCCUAAAAGUCAAAGGAGUUGGCAGUACUUUACAUCACUCUAGAGGAGCCUAUUCUAUAAUUGAUAAGCCCUGAUAUACCUCACCACCUUUAGCAUUUAUCAGCCUACAUACUGCCAUCUUCAGCAAAUCCUAACAAGGUCUUAGAGUAAGCAAGAGAAUUUUACAUUAAUACAUUAGUCAAGGUGUAGCCUAUAAGGUGGAAAGUAAUGGGCUACAUUUUCUACCUCCUAGAACAAAUCUUCACCACAGCUUUUAUGAAACUUAAAAGCCCAAGGCAGAUUUAGUAGUAAGUUAAGAAUAGAAAGCUUACUGAAUUGGGCAAUAAAGUACGCACACACUGCUCGUCACCCUCUUCAAAUAUAAUUACACAAAACGUGAUACAUAAUCCACUUGAUUAGACUGUAUGAGAAGAGAUAAGUCAUAACAAGGUAGACAUACUGGAAAGUGUGUUUGGAAUAAUCAAAAU